CAGGGACACCUGGGGGACAACAUGGGGACAGCUGGGGACAGCUGGGGGACAUGGGGACAUGGGGACAGCUACAUGGGGGACAUGGGCAGUGGCACCAGGGUGGCACACAGGUGACACUCUCCCCUCCCCCCAGGCUACUCGGUGACAGUCGGGGAGUUCAGCGGUGACACCACUCAAGACUUUGUGGCCGGUGUCCCCAAGGGCAACCUCACCUACGGCUACGUCACCAUCCUCAACGGCACCAACAUGAAGUCCCUGUACAACUUCUCGGGGGAGCAGGUGGGGACGGGGGUCUGGGGGUCUG